rnacentral:rRNA from 1 species
AUUGAACGCUGGCGGCAGGCCUAACACAUGCAAGUCGAGCGGUAGCACAGAGAGCUUGCUCUCGGGUGACGAGCGGCGGACGGGUGAGUAAUGUCUGGGAAACUGCCUGAUGGAGGGGGAUAACUACUGGAAACGGUAGCUAAUACCGCAUAACGUCGCAAGACCAAAGUGGGGGACCUUCGGGCCUCAUGCCAUCAGAUGUGCCCAGAUGGGAUUAGCUAGUAGGUGGGGUAACGGCUCACCUAGGCGACGAUCCCUAGCUGGUCUGAGAGGAUAACAAGCCACACUGGAACUGAGACACGGUCCAGACUCCUACGGGAGGCAGCAGUGGGGAAUAUUGCACAAUGGGCGCAAGCCUGAUGCAGCCAUGCCGCGUGUAUGAAGAAGGCCUUCGGGUUGUAAAGUACUUUCAGCGGGGAGGAAGGCGAUAAGGUUAAUAACCUUGUCGAUUGACGUUACCCGCAGAAGAAGCACCGGCUAACUCCGUGCCAGCCGCCGCAGUAA